UUGUGACUGUCUUAACUCAAGAAGACAAUGGCUUCAACUGAAUCUCACUCUCUUCAGUUCCAAACAGUCUGCUAAUCAGAUAAAGUUAAUUUAAAAAGCGUAUUUUACAGCUUCACCUGAGCUGAAGCUAGAACUGAGGUUGUAAAGUGAAAUAGACCUUAACAUGUAUACAUCUUUCUAUUACUUGAAGCUAUGGCUGGGCUGUUGCAUAGUAAACAUUUUUCAGGUUUUUGCUAAGUGUGAAAAUAGAAAAACUUACUGCAGAGACAUGUUGAUACACAUGUUACUCAUGUUGAUAUCUUUGCUCUCAUCUGUAUUCUCUUGUUGACAUGCUCUCUGCAUGUGAACAAGUCGAGAAAGAGGGAAGGUUUAGCGGAAUGUGCCCCUCUAUUGUAAGCAGUGAGACAGGCGCAAAGGACGCCGGCUCUAGUAUUAAUUAGUCAGGUGAAAUGAGUAGACUGCAUCAUUAUAUUGGCAAUUAGAGCAGAAUCUAUUUCUCUGGCACGCCGGUGGCGAGCAAGCAGUACGAGGGGUUAGAAAAACGACUAAGAAGCUGACAGAGCCACAAAGAGAAAGAUUGAGAAAAGCUGCUGGAAGAGAGAUUUGAAGAGAGAAAGAAUGUUGUGGGGCUGAGAGUCAUGAAAAGGAUUUAUUGCUAAUCCCGGCAGUGAUAGUCAGCUUCCAUGAUCCCUACCACCCUGCUAGUCAAUCACAGCGCAAACAUUGAGAUAUGUUGAUAGAAUGCAGCACAUUUCCUGGAUCUGUCUUCCCUUUCAGUGCGCUGAUGUCGUCUUACCCUGGGUGAUGGAUGACUUAAAUUGUUGUUGAAAUGAGCAGAUGCCUUUGGAUGCAAAAACACAUUGUAGUGUGCUGCAGUUCAUUUUCCCCUCCGGUGUUCACAUAAAAGACUCGCACAAGAUUUGGAGAAAUCAAAUUUUUUUUCCUCAACAAAUUGCGUCAAGAAUACCGAAAGUAGGUCAACAUUCAGUUUCAGUGAGUUGAAUCUCUCAUUAAUGGCAUGAUGUUUUUAUAUUUUGGUCGAUUUUGCUAACGUCUCGUUCUUUUGAUAAUUGGACACCUGAACACUGUACGCUGAAGAAAAUUCUUGUUUUAAAAUCGCUCUUCCUGGUGUGCAGUGGACAGGUUACCAGUCCACCGCGGAGCACUCAGGGAGAUUCUAACAACGCAGUAGAAAUAUUAGAUAACUGUGUAACUUUUUUUGCACAUUAUGGCAGCCUUGACAUCGACAAACAGCCUGACAUGUCCAGGUGAUGUAGGAAGCUUCUGGCUUUCAGGUGAAAGAGGCCUGAGUGUUGGAAAAAAAAAAACAGGUGGCUCUAAAAUUGCACUGAAAUGUGUUGCUGGCUCUAAUGCAGCUUUGCUCCCAGAGGGAUUCUGGGUUUACAGGGAAGAAGCUGUGGGCUGUUGCCGGUGCUGGUCAGGCAGCGCAGCGAUGGAGCUAAUGGAGGCCAACUAUGAUGACUUGGGUUCUGUCACACCAAGGUCUUCACUCUAACUCCACUAUAAUGAGACUGUCAGAACAGUGUGAGCCAUCAGAGAUUCUCCUCUCCAUCCUCCAGAAACCCACUUUCACAGUCAAGGAUGAGUAGCGCUGUGUGUGUGCGCGUGUGUGUGUGUGUGUGUGUGUGUGUGUGUGUGUGUGUGUGUGCGUGCAUGCGUGCGUGCGUGCAUGUGCAGGUGUGUGUGUGUGUGUGUGUGCGUGCGUGCACGUGUGUAUUUGCGUGCACCCUAGAGACUUGUUUAUGGUCGUUCUGGUUUUCAGAGCCACCCCACUCAACCUGCUAGCUAUCCAGGCUUCUCUUGUGUCUUUCAUCUGGAUGAAGUCUCAUCAUCCAAACAUCAGGAUGUAAAGAAAGCAGACAUGAAACCAGACACUGCCAUCUUUACACCAAAAGGCUUUCAGACCAAGGGAAGACUUAGACUUUAAACUUAGACUAAACACGUGCAAAUCUAGACAACCAUCAUGCAUUUUGUAAAAUAAGUGUACUAUUAUACACAUGUGCAAUAUUUACAACAAUCAAUUGAAAUGGCCACUAUGUUGAACAAGUAUGUAAACUACAUGGUGAUAUGAGCAUUCUAUUGAAAGACAAAUAUAACUUUUUCUGCAUUUUAAAGUAGCAAGAAAAACAAUACAUGUUUUUUCAUAAGGAAACCCGAUAGGCAUCUACAUCGGUAUUAUGCUAGUCAUUUUUUUACAUAUCAGUAUCGGUUUGAUAGUUAAAACUGGGCUUAUAUUGACAGAUGUUUAGUUAUCUUGUUGACGUUUGUGUGUUUCAGUGUGAGGUUGGUCGUGUGUUAUUUGUUCAGUCAUGUUAUUUGUUCAGUCAUGUUAUUUGUUCAGUCAUGUGACAAACAUAGUGAUACAGUGCAACAUUAUGGGGGUGUUUAACUAAAGCAGGAAAAUGAUGUAGGCAGUGUAGUUUUACAUGGUGUUUAAAGUGUAGGAAAAUAUAUAGAAUGUAGAUAAAUAUUGGUUAUCAGCCAUAACAGCAUAAUUAAUGUUGGAUAUUGAUAUCGGCACAAGUUUUCAUAUUGCAUCCCUGCUUUUAACAUUUGGAACUAAUGAACAUAUGACAAAUAUUUAAACCAUGUUUUAAUCUCAGCAGAACCUCAAUUUGCUGUGUUACAUCUGCAGCUCUCAUGGGUAUAUCACCACUUUUACACAUCUAAAGAUGACAUUUUUGCCAAUUCAGCUCAAACUCAGGCUGAAUAAAACAGAUAUGUCAAAAUCAAUUUUAAAAUUUUGCUACAGAUUUAAUUGGAUUUAGGUUCUUGUCAGGGUCUGUGUUUUUCCCUCUUUUAUUUUGUUAGUUUGUUUUCGGUUUUGAGUUUUUUAUAUGUUGCUGGAACCGUCAUUCAUCAUGGCAUCCACCAGAUGUCACCAACUAGAAGAGCCCCUGGCAAGCUGCUGGGUUCAACCUGUGUACACACCUGCUGCUCGUUUGGAGGGCGUGGAUUGUGGAUAUAAGCAGCAGCUCCUCCUCUUCUCAUCGCCUGAGUGUUUGCUUAUCUUGGUAACAAAUCGUUCCAGAGAAAGGCCCUCUGUGAUCCGCUCUGUUCUAACUCCUUGUUGUCUUCCUCGUCAGAUGAUCAUGCCGUCUCCUCGUUGUUCCCGUGUGUUCAGUCCUUCCCGGGUUCUGAGUGAGUCUGUUUCCCCGCUGCUGUGGAUUACCUACCUCCUGUGUCCUCCCUCGACGCUACCAGCCAGAUGCCACUCCUCGUGUGUUCACCUAUUCCCUUCGUCGAUCCUUCUCCGGUGGAUUCCCCUUGGGGACGUUCCGGGUCUGGAGACCCAAGCCCGCACCCAACCGGAGAAAAGGGUACUACUGAACCAAAGUCAAGCUGCUCCUCCAACCGUUAACAUUCCUGUCCGCUCUCCAACGAAUCAUACCAACCUACACUCUACUCAAGUCUUCCUCACCUUCCUACCAAGUUCGAAAAUUGAGUACCAACAUGACAGUUCUGACUUUGAGUAGACCAGAGUAAGAUGUGAUUAACCUUUGAUCUGGAACAUUCCAUUGUGGUUCUGGCUUCAGGCUUUGAGUAGAAGAGCCUCCCUGAUCCAGUGUUAACUGCUGUCAUAAACAAGCGGCUGUGAGCCUCUGUCCACUGAGGAGUCCUGGUAAAGCUGUCAGUGGAAUCCAUGACCAGAGGAGCUGAAGAUAAAACAACGUUCCACACAGCUGACUUUUUGAUUAAGCUCAAGCUUAUUUUCACCAAUAGGAAUAUUCCUCCAGAUAUUGAACAACACACAGCUUAAGGUUUUUUUUAUUUUUAUUUUUUUAACUAUGUUAAAUGUAGUGUGUUUAUUUUUGAACACUAUCUCAAAUGCUUGGGGGAGUCAUGCAAAUUGAAUAAAACCUAUAUCAGUUAUGCUGGUCUUCUGCUGCAGAGUAUUUUUCAUGGGGUCAAUAUUCAUGCCUGGACUGCAGCAGCUAAACUUGUGUUGGCAGAGAUGGAGGGAAGCUGGAAGUCAAACU